GAUGAACGCUGGCGGCGUGCCUAAUACAUGCAAGUCGAGCGAACGGACGAGAAGCUUGCUUUUCUGAUGUUAGCGGCGGACGGGUGAGUAACACGUGGAUAGCCUACCUAUAAGACUGGGAUAACUUCGGGAAACCGGAGCUAAUACCGGAUAAUAUUUUGAACCGCAUGGUUCAAAAGUGAAAGACGGUCUUGCUGUCACUUAUAGAUGGAUCCGCGCUGCAUUAGCUAGUUGGUAAGGUAACGGCUUACCAAGGCAACGAUGCAUAGCCGACCUGAGAGGGUGAUCGGCCACACUGGAACUGCGACACGGUCCAGACUCCUACGGGAGGCAGCAGUAGGGAAUCUUCCGCAAAGGGCGAAAGCCUGACGGAGCAACGCCGCGUGAGUGAUGAAGGUCUUCGGAUCGUAAAACUCUGUUAUUAGGGAAGAACAUAUGUGUAAGUAACUGUGCACAUCUUGACGGUACCUAAUCAGAAAGCCACGGCUAACUACGUG
rnacentral:rRNA from 1 species